UGAACCUACAUGUGUAGGAUAGGUGGGAGGCUUUGAAGACGUGACGCCAGUUGCGUUGGAGCCGUCCUUGAAAUACCACCCUUGUAUGUUUGAUGUUCUAACUUAGACCCGUUAUCCGGGUUGAGGACAGUGCCUGGUGGGUAGUUUGACUGGGGCGGUCUCCUCCCAAAGAGUAACGGAGGAGCACGAAGGUGGGCUAAUCACGGUUGGACAUCGUGAGGUUAGUG
rnacentral:rRNA from 1 species